CUCUGAUUGGCUACUUAGCAGGGGCGCACGCACAGAGCCUCUGUCUCGCGUCACACAAUCAGUACCUACUUAGGUAUAGGUAUAGGGAGUGCCCUCUCCCACUUCAACGCCUCUGCCACGUGCUGACAAACCCUGUGUCCUUGGAAACCUGUAAGGCAAGCUUCCUGGAGGAAGUGUCCUAAGGCGGGUGGGCACACGACUGGUACUGGAACCUCUCAAGACUUCCCAUCACCAAGCCUUCAGCGAUGGGGCCCGCCUUCAUCUUUACCCAGAUGUCACACAAACAGAAAUAACAGACAGCCCUCACCUGAGCCUCUUUCUCCGGGGUUCCCAGUGACAAGAUUUUCCAGACUGGGGCUGGGCAUGAGUCCCAGGAUUCCCUUCUGCUGGUCUUUUCUCUGGGUCUGCCUUGGGGAAGGUUGUAGAAGGCAAGUCCAGAAGGAUGCCUGGCAGGAGCGAUGCACACCUUCAAUCCCAGCACUUGGGAGGCAGAGUAGACAUAAGUUCGAGGCCAGCCUGCCCCUACAGAGCAAAUUCCAGGUAGCCAGGGCAACACAGUGAGAGCCUGUCUCAAAACGCAAGCCACAAACCACAUGCCACUUCUUUCCCCUGAGGUCCUAAUGGGUGACAUUUCUAUUGAGCCUCCAGGGCCUAAGCUGGGGGGUUGCCUCUGCUCCACAGGGCACCCAGGGAAGACCAAGACCCUAGGAUUGUGCUCACAAUCACAUCCAAAUGCAGAAGGAGAAUGCGAACCCAGGGUCCCAGCCUACCACCUCCUAGCUGCCUCUUGACACAUUGUAUGACCUCCCCAGAGUCUAUCCAGUCUCUGCUCUAUUGAUCCAACUCUGAAUUUCAAACAGAUUAGGAAAUAGUUGGUAAACUCCACAGGUCUGACUAAGAGAGAGGAGUCGGGCUUUCAAGAACCCACACCUGUUCAGAGGCUGUGGCGUCUGUGGGACAGAUGUUGGACUUCCAUUCUUGCCCCAUGAUGCCCACAGUCGCUUGUUCAGAGCACAGUCAGUAGAAGCCAAUGCUCUCCAUUUUACAUGGGCACACCACGCACUUCCCUGUCAGAGUUUAGGAUGAGGGACAAAGGUCCCAUGUGAGUUUCCCAACACAAAGGAAAUUUGAAAACCGGGCUAUUUGGAUAGCUGAGGGCCAAAGAUCGGUUGAUUCUCAGGGUCAGAGAUAGUUUAACUCCUUUUCAUAGCCCACCCCCACCCCCAAAGGCAGCCGAGAAAUGGAUCCCAUGGGACGGAAGCAUCUGGACCAGCUUACCUAGCAAGCUGCUAUCCCAGCCCCAACUCCAGCGCCUGAGAGUCGGUGCAGCAGCCAGGAGUAUUCUGGCAACGGUUCUUAGUCCAGCACAAAGCCCUGCUGGCUAGCACCUGGCUGAGAGCCAAGGCCUGGAACCCAGAAUCCUAUUCUACAUCCUGGGUGCUGGGAAAGACAAGCACGCGCCCUUGCAGACUCUCUAUUUAUAUUUUUAAUUAUAAUAUAUGC
ensembl:lncRNA